GACGAACGCUGGCGGCGUGCCUAAUACAUGCAAGUAGAACGCACAGUUUAUACCGUAGCUUGCUACACCAUAGACUGUGAGUUGCGAACGGGUGAGUAACGCGUAGGUAACCUGCCUGGUAGCGGGGGAUAACUAUUGGAAACGAUAGCUAAUACCGCAUAAUAUUGAUUAUUGCAUGAUAAUUAAUUGAAAGGUGCAAUUGCACCACUACCAGAUGGACCUGCGUUGUAUUAGCUAGUAGGUGAGGUAACGGCUCACCUAGGCGACGAUACAUAGCCGACCUGAGAGGGUGAUCGGCCACACUGGGACUGAGACACGGCCCAGACUCCUACGGGAGGCAGCAGUAGGGAAUCUUAGGCAAUGGACGAAAGUCUGACCGAGCAACGCCGCGUGAGUGAAGAAGGUUUUCGGAUCGUAAAGCUCUGUUGUAAGAGAAGAACGGGUGUGAGAGUGGAAAGUUCACACUGUGACGGUAUCUUACCAGAAAGGGACGGCUAACUACGUG
rnacentral:rRNA from 1 species